GAUGAACGCUGGCGGCGUGCUUAACACAUGCAAGUCGAACGGGAAUUAUUUUAUUGAAACUUCGGUCGAUUUAAUUUAAUUCUAGUGGCGGACGGGUGAGUAACGCGUGGGUAACCUGCCUUAUACAGGGGGAUAACAGUCAGAAAUGGCUGCUAAUACCGCAUAAGCGCACAGAGCUGCAUGGCUCAGUGUGAAAAACUCCGGUGGUAUAAGAUGGACCCGCGUUGGAUUAGCUGGUUGGUGGGGUAACGGCCCACCAAGGCGACGAUCCAUAGCCGGCCGGGAGGGGGGACCGGCCCAUUUGGGACUGGGCCCCGGCCCAGACCCCCACGGGGGGCAGAAGGGGGGAAAAUUGAAAAAGGGGGGAAACCCUGAGGCAGCGAGGCCGGGUGAAGGAAGAAGUUUCCGGGAAUGAAAAUUUCUACCAGAAGGGAAGAUAGUGAGGGUACCGAACAAAGAACCCGCGGCUAACUAGGU
rnacentral:rRNA from 1 species